UGCUAGCAAGGCCAAUAUCUUUAUCGGCUAUGGAGUAAGACAUUACCAUUAUCAGUCAAGAUCUUUACUAGAUGAGACAAAGAAAUCUGUAUGCUUGUGAUAGAAUCCUGCUUCCAACAUAAGCAUUAAUGGUACUGUUGAUAACCGUGAAGAUCGAAUGAAAUGAAUGGAUCCAGAGGCUCUACUAGAAAGCAAAUAGGGAAAUAAUAAACUUCUAGAGACCAUGUUGCUACAUACUCAUUAGUUGCUUUUCCGAAGCUCUUAUUCGUGUGUUUUGAAAUUUAUAGUCUAUCUUAGUUUAAUUAGGCUGUUAUCAACUAUAAUUGAGGACUUUUACCUGUGGUUGUGUUGUGAGAUAGGUUAAUAUAUUAUAUGUGUUCUCCUCGAAUGUUGUUGAGGGUGAAGAGGGCCAACUCAAGUUAGCCCAAUCCUGUUGGCUCAAUCUGGGAUCAAUUUGGUCUGUGGUUUAAGGGCGAGACAAUUGAGCUCCCUGUGAAUCAUGUAAAGAGCUCUCAAUCUGUGAGAUCACUGACUAGGCGCACAUGCCCCAUAGAUCGAGGAAGCUUCCCAGUUCAUACAGCGGACUAUCUAUCUCAUGUUUACGAUGCUGGUAAGUGGAUUCUGUCUUCUUGAUGAGUCUCAUGGAAUGCUCGUUUGGAAAAUAACUGGUCAAGAUUCAAACGCUGACCUCCCGUAUCUCCCCGCCUACUUUUCUCCGCUCAUGUGCCUGUGCCUGACAUGACCUUCGUUGAUUCCAUCGCCUUCAUAAUUAGUUAGCCAUCGUUUCAGCACCAUAGAAGAUAUAUUUUUAUCUGCAGUAUUAUUGACUUACGCUCAUAUUAACGUAUGAGAUAGAGAUCAUUAGCAGUACACAUUUGACUUCAUUCUUUUUCAUGAGUUUCU